GACGGAGGGGGCAAGCGUUGUCCGGACUCACUGGGCGUAAAGCGUGCGUAGGUGGUGCGAUGCGUCGGCGCUGAAAGCGCCCGGCUUAACCGGGCGACGGGCGACGAUACGAUCGCACUGGAGGCAGGGAGACGUUGGUGGAAUUCCGGGUGUAGUGGUGAAAUGCGUAGAGAUCCGGAGGAAUGCAGGUGGCGUAAGCGGCCGACGAGUCCUGACCUGACACUGAGGCACGAAAGCGUGGGGAGCAAACCGG
rnacentral:rRNA from 1 species